UUUGGAAUAUUGCACAAUGGGGGAAACCCUGAUGCAGCGACGCCGCGUGGAGGAUGAAGGAUCUAGGUCUGUAAACUCCUUUUAUCGGGAAAGACUUAGGACGGUACCCGAUGAAUAAGCACCGGCUAACUACGUGCCAGCAGCCGCGGUAAGACGUAGGGUGCGAGCGUUGUCCGGAUUUACUGGGCGUAAAGGACGCGUAGGCGGCCCGUUAAGUGUGAAGUGAAAUCUCCAGAGCUCAACUCGGAAACUGCUUCGCAUACUGGCAGGCUAGAGGAAUGCAGAGGUAGCUAGAAUUCCUGGUGUAGCGGUGAAAUGCGUUGAUAUCAGGAGGAAUACCCAUGGCGAAGGCAGGCUACUGAGCAUUAUCUGACGCUGAGGCGUGAAAGCGUGGGUAGCAAACG
rnacentral:rRNA from 1 species